AUUGAACGCUGGCGGCAUGCUUUACACAUGCAAGUCGAACGGCAGCACGGACUUCGGUCUGGUGGCGAGUGGCGAACGGGUGAGUAAUACAUCGGAACGUGCCCAGUUGUGGGGGAUAACUACUCGAAAGAGUAGCUAAUACCGCAUGAGAACUGAGGUUGAAAGCAGGGGCUCGUAAGACCUUGAGCAAAUGGAGCGGCCGAUGGCAGAUUAGGUAGUUGGUGGGAUAAAAGCUUACCAAGCCGACGAUCUGUAGCUGGUGUGAGAGGACGACCAGCCACACUGGGACUGAGACACGGCCCAGACUCCUACGGGAGGCAGCAGUGGGGAAUUUUGGACAAUGGGCGAAAGCCUGAUCCAGCAAUGCCGCGUGCAGGAUGAAGGCCUUCGGGUUGUAAACUGCUUUUGUACGGAACGAAAAGCUUCGGGCUAAUACCCUGGAGUCAUGACGGUACCGUAAGAAUAAGCACCGGCUAACUACGUGCCAGCAGCCGCGGUAAGAC
rnacentral:rRNA from 1 species